AAACAGCAGGCUCCCUCUGGGGCUCAACCUCAAAUGCCCUGUUUCAUACUCACUUCCUACGGGCUUGUUUCAGCAAUGAUUGGAUAAUGUUCUGAACCUACAAAAUUUUCCAUGAUAUCUUCUUGCUGAAUCUUGGGGUUAUUCUCACAAGAACAGGUAGCCUGGCUACGCAGAACUCUUCUCCUGUCCCUCUUGGCUCUCCACUGCCACAAAUCUAAAAUGGGUUGUCUGGACUUCUGGGUAGAUGGUGGAGUGAUAUUGCAGCAGACAAAACAGGCUCUCUGAGAGUAACCACCCAGAGGCUGGAAUAUAGCAUCGUGAGGAAGACAAGAAGAAAGGAAGUGGGUCCCCUGGACCCCGGAAGAACCUGAAGUGUGAACUGAAGUGUUUCCCACAGAGAGAGGGAAAAGAAAACUUCAAUGAAGAGGAAGGCAGAAGCUGGUGGUGCCUUCUCCCUGAGAUGGGAUUCACUGCACAAGAGGAGCUGUUUGAACCUGGGCAUGCAGAGUGAUGGUGACAGUGACAGCUGGCGACCCCAGGGCCUCUGCAGAGAGACGCAGCACUGGAGGUAGCAGCAGACAUGGAGGACUGCACUGGCUGGCGGUUUCGAGGGUGCCAUUCAGCUCGUGGAAAAGUGAGUUUCCCUUUCUGCAUGAUUCAAGCCAGAAGCCACCCUGACAGUUCCAGAGAUGGAGGCUAAGUUGACUCCAGGCUGAUUAGUCCACAGCUGAAGACACAAACAGACUCGGGAGCACAGGAAAGGGGACCUCGGAACACACUGAUGCCCCUGCCUGGAGACUGCGUCCUUGAAUUGUUCAUGAAGUCGUAACAGCGGUUCUUUGGGGGAAAACGGCUGUUUUCUGCAAAUGGCUUCCAGCUGCUCCUUGGUGAUCACAUCAGGAACUACUGCCAUGGUGUCCCCGCGGAUUCGCCAUCCUGCAGCCUCUGCACCACGGAAGUGGUGAGAAACCAUAUUACAUCUUAUGCAUGAAGCUCCACUACCCUGCUUAGCACAGAGCUGGCACUCAAGCAACCUGACUGCAUGGAUACAUUAGCGUUUGGGUGUCGCAUGUAUGGUCUGAGGUUCAGAGAUUUUACACAAGAUCUGCUUCCUUCUAAUUUUCUAGGUACCUACCUGGGAUGCCUGGGUCCCUCCACGAUUGCUUGUGGUUUCUUUGUACCUAUGAAAACAUCAUGCACACUCAGUGUAAAAGAAGGCUCUGGAGAGGGAGUGAUAGACGGGGUCAUUUUCCCUGCUUGCUGUCUGAACCUGGCGCUGUAGUCUGCAGGGCAGGAACCAGGCAUGGUGCCCGGUGCCUCAGGCUUAGUACCCUGUGCAAGGCACACCGCAGGCGUCAGGAAGUGCACUUUGAAAAAGCAACCGAGAGAGGGCGCUCUUGUUCCGUCAGUGCUGAGCUCCGGGUCUGUACCAGGCAGGUGCUCUCUAAAAUUUAUUCAACGGAAGCCCAAGCAGAAGUGUUGGGAGGUGAGAAGCCCUGCACGCUGUGGGAACAACUGGGUCCAAGCUGGAAAAAGUUUUCAGAUAUCUUGCAAUUAGAUCCACUUCUGAGGCCUGAGCUUUCAAAUGAAUGUCUCUUGCCUUGCCUCAGCACCCACCAGGACCAGAACAGGGGCAGAUGUUUAUUCAGAGUGGUUGACACCGAGGGUUCCCGAGGCUGACACCAGGUUCUGGGAGAAAACUAAAGGGUUAGGAAAUGUGGGCUGGAGCUUGUGAGUCUUAUCCGCUUCUUCCACCUCUGCAUCCGGUCAGGGAAGAAGACACAAGCCAGAACCAGGCAUCCACUGCCAGCAAAGCCUUGGCCGGCAGAAUCAAGUUUGGUUUGCAUGACAGCCCGAGGGAUAGGUAUUCUUCUCACGUCACAGGCAGAAAUUAACCACGGGGUGGUGCAGACAACUGGUCUGGGUCCAUCGGGAUGCAAGAGGCAGAGUGGGAUCCAUACACGCUCCGGAACUGGGACUGGGCCUCUCUUUCCUGCUGCCAGGCCCCAGCCCAAAACAACACCAGUGUUCCCAAGGGCCACCAGGAGCCAGGCAGGUCCUCAGCACUGGGGGACACAGAAGGACCUGGCACACCUGCCCUUGGCAGCCCAAGAAAGGGGCUUAAGACUACCAGUUAGUAUCCAGCCUGGACUUGAACCCAGGAACAGACUCUGCAGCCCUCAGGCCCCACAGGUCUCUGUCCUCUUGGAAUCUUGUCUGUCCAGUUUUCCCCUCCCAUCUCCUCCUCCACCAUGGCCUGAGCGGCUUUUCUAGGUCUCUGACCCUGUCACACCAGUGCCCUGCUGGGCCUCGGCAGCCCCUUCUGGGAGACUUGUUUGUCCCAAGACCGGAUGCAGCCAGACACCUGGGAAUCUCGGAAACACCCUGUGCAGAUGCCUGCUUUGUUAAUAGAAUCCAUCUCUAUUUACCUUAGCUUUUCCAUCACCAGGACACAGUACCCAACAUCCAUGGCGUAAAGGAGGAGAGACUCGAUUUAGCGAGUUGGGAGGUGGCUGCUGCGCCUGAGCUGCCUGUGGUCCGGCGUGAUGACAAGGCCCCUGUCCACAUCUGUCCAGUGUUUGAGCCUAGCAGCCCUGCCCAGAGGCCCUGAGAGGGCUCCAUCUCCACACUCCCACCCGUGGACACACAGUCUUCAUAUCCCAAGUGGGAAUGGGAAGAGGAAGAGGCCAUGGUCAUUGCCAUGGACACAGGACAAAUGUGCUUGUACAGCCAGGGAAGGGGAAGGAUGGGCCUUGGCACCUUGGGCUGCGGUGGCAGGGGCAGCAGCUCACCCUCGGGGCACAACUCCAGUGCGUGCUCUCUGGUUUAUCUCGUGCAGUCAGAAUCCGAGUGGUCUUAGCAGUUUCUAGCACAGGUUGUGUCCAGCAGAAGAACCUGGGAAAUAUCUGCUCUCCAGAGAGCACUGGGAAACUCCCCUGGGUACCCUUCAGCUGUUGGGGACCCCUUUGGUGCCUCCAUGCUCCAGCUAGACUCGAGCAGCACAGCAAGUCCUCUGCCCAAGUAGAGGGACACGAGUAGCUUCAGGGCUUCCCUCCUGUCCUCCCUCCCUUCCCUUUUCUCCCACACUUCUGGGUGGCAGCUGUACGUCAGACCAAGUGGAAGGUGCUACAGAUUCAAGGCCCAGAGUAUAGCACCAGGGCCCAGACCUCCUGGAGCUGAUGGGGAAGGGAGGAGGGACAGACAAGGAUACAGGGAGAGGAGGAUGGGGUGCAGAAUAGAGGGGACACAGCAGCAGGAACCCCAACAAAGCAGGGUAGUCAGGGCCUUGAGCAGUACUGGGUGUGACAAACCAGAAGCAAGCAGGUCCCAAGAUUGGGGUCCAUGUGAGGACCCUGCAGCAGGGCAGGACCCUAAGAAACAAGAGUGUCAGGCAGGGAACAGAGGUGCUCACUCUGGGGUGGGCUGUGCCCCGCUGACGGUGCAACUUUCUGGAGGCCAAGGAGCUUCCCUGGGCAUGGGGCUUUCAAUGUAAGUCAGGAAAGUUCUGGACACGGGGGUGAGCUGGUCAUCUUGGAGCUGCUCAUCACAGAAACCCCACAGAUGGGAGGGGCACUGGCCCAGGACGUGGGGAGGGCCACGCCAGCUGAGGCAAGUGUGUGCAGGGGGUGACUGUCCCAGCGUGGUUUAUUAUGGUAGAAGAUGGUCUCACUGGGGGCACAGCACUGAGAGCCAGAGGGAUUAGCUUGGCCUCCUCUGGCUUGCUUCACUUGGCUGCAGGGAUGCAAACCGAUCAUGUAAACACUGGCUCAGGGCCCACAGUCCCUCCCCAGCUUCGCGCAUCUGGAAGGGAUGGGCGUGCAAUCACUGUAAUCCUCUCCGCAUGACUCCCUUGGCCUCCUUCCCGCUGUCACAUGGGCGCCGUCACCCCAGCCCUCCCCAUCCUGGGGACCAGCAGGGGCCAGCAGGGAGACAGAGGCCAGGAAUUCUGCACAGGCUGCCAGGGGCCAGUGACUGAGCUCUCUUGCCCCAGAAACCCAUCCCCUGAACCUCCACAGUUGUUGGAGGGAUCAGAUGGGGGCAUCGUGCUGAGCUUUCAUUCAGCCUGGAACAGGGCUCCUGCUUUCCAUUUUAUAGGUGUGAAGACUGAUGCUAGGAGACCACAUGUGUAUCUCUCUUUUGAGGUUAGGGCUGGGGGGGAGUCACAGUCAAGUUCUGGUGGGCCACUGGCCUAGUCACAUGGUUCACAGGCAUCUUCAUGAGAACGAAGAGAGGAUGCCCUUUAAUCCAGGCAAAGGGAACCCAGCCUGGGCAGUAGGAGUACUGGGUAUUAGCCACCCAUGUCCCCUUGAAUGCCCCUGCAUAGCAAUAAUCAUGCAGCCAUAGAGGCUAUGGAGGCCAUACUCUACGGUCCCUCUCAACCCAGGGCUAAGAAGGGAGAGGAGCGUUGAUGAAGCAGAUGGAUGUGGGGCUGCCUUCCUGUGCUGGGGCAUUCAGAGAGACCCCCUGCUAAGCUCCCCACAGAGGUGGUCCCCAUGUGACAGAGAGGAGGGUCAGGAGGAGGGGCUGUCCCACCAGUACCUGCUCUUCAGGAAGGACAGCUCCCACAGGGGCCUUUUACAGUGGGUGGCAAACUCAGGGCCAGACAGGAAACGAUUGUUUUUUGCCAGGCACUCAGCCUCUGUGACCACUUCUCAACCUCCAUGCAGUGUUUGAACAUCCAGAGACAGUAUGUGACUGCUUGUACAUGGCUUUUUUCCAAUAAAACUUUAUUUACAACAUCAAGCACAGAUGUUUCCAAUAAAACUUUAUAACAACAAACAGUGGAGCUGGUCUUGG